GUGUCAGCAGCCGCGGUAAGACGAAGGUGGCAAGCGUUGCUCGGAAUCACUGGGCAUAAAGCGCGCGUAGGUGGCCUGACAAGUCAGUGGUGAAAUCCCAUCGCUCACCGAUGGAACUGCCGCUGAUACUGUCGGGCUUGAGGACGGUAGGGGAGAGUGGAACUCCUGGUGUAGCGGUGAAAUGCGUAGAUAUCAGGAGGAACGCCGGUGGCGAAAGCGACUCUCUGGGCUGUUCCUGACACUGAUGCGCGAGAGCUAGGGGAGCAAACAGGAUUAGAUACCCGCGUAGUCC
rnacentral:rRNA from 1 species